rnacentral:misc_RNA from 1 species
AAGUCGUAACAAGGUUUCCUCUAUAGAAUACCUAUUGAAGCCUUGAACCUAAAGUCUAUUUUAUAGGCAACAUCUUUACUGUGCUUGGAGACCUUAAAGGUAACAAGCAGCUGUUAAACCAGCUCACAGAUCAAACAAAGGUGGUUCUCUAGCCCUUACGCUGUUGAAUUAAAAUAUGACCGGCCCACUGUUGGAAAAACAGUAAUUAUUGUGUUCCGUAGGUGAACCUGCGGAAGGAUCAUUACAGAGAAAAUGCCCUUUGGGGUAUAUCUCCCACCCUUUGUUUACAAUACUUUGUUG